GGACGAACGCUGGCGGCGUGCUUAACACAUGCAAGUCGAACGGUGAACUCCGCUUGCGGGGGGAUCAGUGGCGAACGGGUGAGUAACACGUGGGCAACCUGCCCUCAGCUCUGGGAUAACUCCAAGAAAUUGGGGCUAAUACCGGAUAUGACCGCUGACCGCAUGGUCUGGUGGUGGAAAGAUUUAUCGGCUGGGGAUGGGCCCGCGGCCUAUCAGCUUGUUGGUGGGGUAGUGGCCUACCAAGGCGACGACGGGUAGCCGGCCUGAGAGGGUGACCGGCCACACUGGGACUGAGACACGGCCCAGACUCCUACGGGAGGCAGCAGUGGGGAAUAUUGCGCAAUGGGCGAAAGCCUGACGCAGCAACGCCGCGUGGGGGAUGACGGCCUUCGGGUUGUAAACCUCUUUCAGCAGGGACGAAGCGAAAGUGACGGUACCUGCAGAAGAAGCACCGGCCAACUACGUG
rnacentral:rRNA from 1 species